rnacentral:rRNA from 1 species
GCAUAUCAAUAAGCGGAGGAAAAGAAACCAACAGGGAUUGCCCCAGUAACGGCGAAGUGAAGCGGCAACAGCUCAAAUUUGAAAUCUGGCCCCUAGGGUCCGAAGUUGUAAUUUGUAGAGGAUGCUUUUGGUGAGGUGCCGCCCGAGUUCCCUGGAACGGGACGCCGCAGAGGGUGAGAGCCCCGUCUGGCUGGCCACCGAGCCUCUGUAAAGCUCCUUCGACGAGUCGAGUAGUUUGGGAAUGCUGCUCAAAAUGGGAGGUAUAUGUCUUCUAAAGCUAAAUAUUGGCCAGAGACCGAUAGCGCACAAGUAGAGUGAUCGAAAGAUGAAAAGCACCUUGAAAAGAGGGUUAAACAGUACGUGAAAUUGUUGAAAGGGAAGCGCUUGUGACCAGACUUGGGCGCGGCGAAUCAUCCGGGGUUCUCUCCGGUGCACUUCGCCGUGUUCAGGCCAGCAUCAGUUCGGCGCGGGGGAAAAAGGCUUCGGGAACGUGGCUGCUCCGGCAGUGUUAUAGCCCGUUGCAUAAUACCCUGCGCUGGACUGAGGACCGCGCAUCUGCAAGGAUGCUGGCGUAAUGGUCACCAGCGACCCGUCUUGAAACACGGACCAAGGAGUCGUCUUCGUAUGCGAGUGUUCGGGUGUCAAACCCCUACGCGUAAUGAAAGUGAACGCAGGUGAGAGCUUCGGCGCAUCAUCGACCGAUCCUGAUGUUCUCGGAUGGAUUUGAGUAAGAGCAUACGGGGCCGGACCCGAAAGAAGGUGAACUAUGCCUGUAUAGGGUGAAGCCAGAGGAAACUCUGGUGGAGGCUCGCAGCGGUUCUGACGUGCAAAUCGAUCGUCAAAUAUGGGCAUGGGGGGCGAAAGACUAAUCGAACCUUCUAGUAGCUGGUUUCCGCG